AUACGUAGGGUGCAAGCGUUAAUCGGAAUUACUGGGCGUAAAGCGUGCGCAGGCGGUUUUGUAAGACAGUGGUGAAAUCCCCGGGCUCAACCUGGGAACUGCCAUUGUGACUGCAAGGCUGGAGUGCGGCAGAGGGGGAUGGAAUUCCGCGUGUAGCAGUGAAAUGCGUAGAUAUGCGGAGGAACACCGAUGGCGAAGGCAAUCCCCUGGGCCUGCACUGACGCUCAUGCACGAAAGCGUGGGAGCAAACAGGAUUAGAUACCCUGGUAGUCCACGCCCUAAACGAUGUCAACUGGUUGUUGGGGAUUUAUUGACUCAGUAACGAAGCUAACGCGUGAAGUUGACCGCCUGGGGAGUACGGCCGCAAGGUUAAAACUCAAAGGAAUUGGCGGGG
rnacentral:rRNA from 1 species